AAAAAAAAAAAAAAGAAGUAAAGACACCUCAGGAAGGAAGUUCCCACUUCAGAAGGGGGAAGCAAAGACCACAACAGCCCCGCUGCCCACAAAGGAACAGUUACAAAGGUCCUCAAGCUAUCCAGGAAAAAAAGAUAUCACUUAAGGGGUCUGCUCCGGCUCCAGAGACCUGCGCUUGACAAGAGAGGCACCGCAGCAGGAAUGACUGACUCCAGAAGGUGCAUGUCCAACCUAUUUUCCUGCCUCCACGAUCUGCAGCAUACAAUCAUGAACAGAAGUCUUGUUUCUGGGUUGAUUUUCUGUUCCUGGCAAACCGGGUGC